rnacentral:rRNA from 1 species
GAUGAACGCUGGCGGCGUGCCUAAUACAUGCAAGUCGAACGAACAGACGAGGAGCUUGCUCCUCUGACGUUAGCGGCGGACGGGUGAGUAACACGUGGAUAACCUACCUAUAAGACUGGGAUAACUUCGGGAAACCGGAGCUAAUACCGGAUAAUAUAUUGAACCGCAUGGUUCAAUAGUUAAAGACGGUUUUGCUGUCACUUAUAGAUGGAUCCGCGCCGCAUUAGCUAGUUGGUAAGGUAACGGCUUACCAAGGCAACGAUGGGUAGCCGACCUGAGAGGGUGAUCGGCCACACUGGAACUGAGACACGGCCCAGACUCCUACGGGAGGCAGCAGUAGGGAAUCUUCCGCAAUGGGCGAAAGCCUGACGGAGCAACGCCGCGUGAGUGAUGAAGGUCUUCGGAUCGUAAAGCUCUGUUAGUAGGGAAGAACAAAUGUGUAAGUAACUAUGCACGGCUUGACGGUACCUAAACAGAAAGCCACGGCUAACUACGUG